rnacentral:rRNA from 1 species
UACGAAGGGUGCAAGCGUUACUCGGAAUCACUGGGCGUAAAGCGUGCGUAGGCGGUUCGUUAAGUCUGUUGUGAAAGCCCUGGGCUCAACCUGGGAACUGCAGUGGAUACUGGCGAGCUAGAGUACGGUAGAGGAAGGUGGAAUUCCCGGUGUAGCGGUGAAAUGCGUAGAGAUCGGGGAGGAACACCAGUGGCGAAGGCGGCCUUCUGGACCAGUACUGACGCUGAGGCACGAAAGCGUGGGGAGCAAACAGG